rnacentral:lncRNA from 1 species
GCCAACUGCCUGAUGGGGGUGUACCUGUUCUCCGUGGGCAUCUUUGACAUCAAGUACCGAGGCAGUAACGGAAGUAUGUGCUGCUGCGGGCUGCUGCCUGUUGGGCUUCCUGUCCUCGCUGUCCACGGAGGUCUUGGUGCUGCUGCUGACAUUCCUGACGCUGGAGAAGUUCCUGGUCAUUGUAUUCCCUUUCAGCAACCUGCGCCCAUGCAAGCGCCAGACUGCUGUGGUCCUCACCAGCUUCUGCGGGUCAGGAUUUCUCAUAGUGGCCGUUCCCUUCACCAGCGAGGAGGAUUAUUUUGGCAACUUUAAUGGGAAAAAUGGAGUCUGCUUCCCACUUCAUUACGACCAAGCAUUAGAUUUUGGAAGUAGAGGGUACGUUCUUGGGAUUUUCCUAGGUAAAUUUCAUCUU